CCUACGGGGUGCAGCAGUAGGGAAUUUUCGGCAAUGGGGGGAACCCUGACCGAGCAACGCCGCGUGAACGAAGAAGUUAUUCGUAAUGUAAAGUUCUUUUAACAGGGAAGAAAGAGAAAUUUGACGGUACCUGAAGAAUAAGCUCCGGCAAACCACGUGCCAGCAGCCUCGGAAAUACGUAGGGAGAGACCGUUAUCCGGAAUUAUUGGGCGUAAAGGGGGCGUAGAUGGCAUAGUAAGUCUUUUGUAAAAAUUCUGGGCUAAACCCAGUAGGGCAAAAGAUACUGCAAAGCUAGAGUAUGACAGAGGCAAGUGGAACUACAUGUGUAGCGGUAAAAUGCGUAGAUAUAAGUAAGAACACCAGUGGCGAAGGCGGCUUGCUGGGUCGUAACUGACGUUGAGGCACGAAAGCGUGGGGAGCAAACAGGAUUAGAUACCCGGGUAGUC
rnacentral:rRNA from 1 species